rnacentral:rRNA from 1 species
UACGGGGGGGGCAAGCGUUGUUCGGAAUUACUGGGCGUAAAGGGCGCGUAGGCGGUUGGAUAAGUCAGCUGUGAAAACCACGGGCUUAACUCGUGGCCUGCAGUUGAGACUGUCUGGCUUGAGUGUGGGAGAGGAGAGUGGAACUCCUGGUGUAGCGGUGAAAUGCGUAGAUAUCAGGAGGAACACCGGUGGCGAAGGCGGCUCUCUGGACCACAACUGACGCUGAGGCGCGAAAGCUAGGGGAGCAAACAGG